CCUACGGGGGGCAGCAGUAGGGAAUAUUGCUCAAUGGGGGAAACCCUGAAGCAGCAACGCCGCGUGGAGGAUGAAGGUUUUCGGAUUGUAAACUCCUUUUGUUAGAGAAGAUAAUGACGGUAUCUAACGAAUAAGCACCGGCUAACUCCGUGCCAGCCGCCGCGGUAAUACGGAGGGUGCAAGCGUUACUCGGAAUCACUGGGCGUAAAGCGCGCGUAGGCGGGAUAGCAAGUCAGAUGUGAAAGCCUAUGGCUUACACAUAGAACUGCAUUUGAAACUGUUAUUCUAGAGUAUGGGAGAGGUAGGUGGAAUUCUUGGUGUAGGGGUAAAAUCCGUAGAGAUCAAGAGGAAUACUCAUUGCGAAGGCGACCUGCUAGAACAUAACUGACGCUGAUGCGCGAAAGCGUGGGGAGCAAACAGGAUUAGAUACCCUGGUAGUC
rnacentral:rRNA from 1 species